ACAACUACCGUAAGCGACAACUGACAACCACUGCUGAAUUCUAUGGUAAACCGUUUAAAGAAUAGAAUUUUCGAGUCAUUGUUUUUGUUCAAACGAGAAACGGAACCCAAUGACCCAGAAUAGGAAUUUUCAACCCCCAUUGUGUUCAAAAGAGAAGGGUAGCCCAAAAACGGAGAAUAGAUUUUUCAAAUCCCCUUGUCUUCAAAAGAGAAGGGUAGCCCAAAAACGGAGAAUAGAUUUUUCAAAUCCCCUUGUCUUCAAAAGAGAAGGGUAGCCCGAAAACCCUGGGACCACGCUGUUUCUGAAAUCAAUUCUGAAAUCGAUUCUCAAAAUUCAAGAUUCCUGUAAACAAAUUGUUGAUGGAGACUCACAAUCACUCUUCAAUGGAAGCAAAGCAGCAAGAAUUUAUUAGGCCUUAAAUGAGAAAGUACCUUUGUAGACACGUUGCACGCCUUUAUGCCAGUUACUGAUGCUGAAGAUUACACGAAACUUCAACCUGUCUUCUCAAUUUGCUAAAACUUGGUUGGAGUGUAAGAUUCCCGUUUUCCUUAUCUCCACAUUUUUCCAAGUUAUAUACCAAUAGUGAAGCAAAGCAAAUGCAAACAAAAUAUUUGAUCUGGGCGUGUCACAGUCAGUAUACACAAGAAAGCACAUCAUUCUUUUUUGGGAAAUUUUGCUAGUGAAGAAAGAGAGAUUGAAAUGGGUAUUGGGUUAGUAGUGACAUUUGAAAUUGUAGGGACUGUAUGGUUUAUUCUGAGAGACUGGAUAGCAAGGUGCGUGUCAGUGGCCAUCGAGAUAGCACGGGCUUUCCAUGCAGGUGACAUUGGGCCCUUACAUGUUGGAUAAUAGGACUCCAUGGUUAAAAAUUCAGAGGUCAAAGAUCUCGUCAAAGCUUUUUACAUACGUGGUGUAUGUAGAUUAUGCUAUGGAACAGCAAUCUAUGUUUCAGUACGAUCCAGAUUCCAUACAAUCCUCUUCAAAAAUGAAAUUUCUAUGGCACGUCCUGUUCAAUUGAGUGAUUGAAUGUGCACAAAUUAAAUUGUUCUAUGGCAUGUCAUCAUGUCAACGAGCAUGUCUUGUGAAUCAAUCAUCUAUUGCACAGAACGUGAUGGUGAUGAGGGUUCAAAAGAUUUAAAUUUGUUCUAGCAUGACAGAUUAAUUUCUCAAAGUUUCUUGAGUGACAAUCUUAUUGUAUUGUGUAAAUUGGUAAAUAGUUUGUUAAGACUGGAAGUGCUCUUUACUGUAAAUAUUGUGGGAAAUGAAGUAUUGAAUGAAUAAAUAGUUCUGAAGAAAAGUACUGUUUACAACA